UUUUUUUUUUCCCGGCAUGUAAAGAAUAUUUGUAGUUUGGUCAAGACUGAGGACGACAUCGUCGACAUGUAUAGCUGCAUGAAGAAAACAAGAAAAAUAAAACCCACAAUAAUUGUUAUAUACAUAAUAAACUAAAUAGAAAUCUAUAUUGAGGGAGGUGUUGGGGGCUGUGAGAGAGAGAGAGAGAGAGAGAGAGAGAGAGAGAGAGAGAAGUUAGAAAUGUAUGUUUCCAUGUGAAUGUCCGGCAACAAACAUUCACGUUGAGUCCAUCUCUCUUGGUGUGUUGGUCCCGGUUAGGGUUUAACAUUGGUUUCAUGUUGUAUUUACUAUAAAACCCUAAUAAUUAACUAACCCUUUUUCUCUCCCCUAAUCAAUGGCUUUUAAAUUAUCUCCAAUUUAAUAUUCGUGUUCCAUAAAAUUAAUCACAUUUUCAUUGUUCC
rnacentral:lncRNA from 1 species